GUACCUAUGAUGAAAUCUCUUACAAAAUACCAUCUUUCGGGACUGAAUGGCUGCAUAAGCCUUGCUGUAUUUUCUGCAAUUCUGAGGUUC